rnacentral:sRNA from 1 species
GCACUCUCAUCGACCAGAUUCUUCCGGUCCUCGCCGAUCGCGGCGAUGACCGUUUCC